AACGAACGCUAGCGGCAGGCUUAAUACAUGCAAGUCGAGGGGCAGCAUGGUGUAGCAAUACACUGAUGGCGACCGGCAAACGGGUGCGGAACACGUACAGAACCUUCCUUCGAGCGGGGAAUAGCCCAGAGAAAUUUGGAUUAAUACCCCAUAGUAUAUUGGAGUGGCAUCACUUUGAUAUUAAAGAUUUAUCACUUGAAGAUGGCUGUGCGGCUGAUUAGGUAGUUGGCGGGGUAACGGCCCACCAAGCCUACGAUCAGUAACUGGUGUGAGAGCACGACCAGUCACACGGGCACUGAGACACGGGCCCGACUCCUACGGGAGGCAGCAGUAAGGAAUAUUGGUCAAUGGACGAAAGUUUGAACCAGCCAUGCCGCGUGGAGGAUGAAGGUCCUCUGGAUUGUAAACUUCUUUUAUAUGGGACGAAAAAAGGCUUUUCUAAGUCGUCUGACGGUACCAUAUGAAUAAGCACCGGCUAACUCCGUGCCAGCAGCCGCUGUAACAC
rnacentral:rRNA from 1 species